ACGAUGAUUCCAGAUGGAAAAAAUGGAAAGGUAAUGUAAAAUGGAAUUUUAAAAAUAUCCAAAUAAUCUGAAAGAAGUCAUCAUAAGGAAACAGAAGAAUGAAAACAGCAGGGACAAUCAGAAAAACACGUAAUAAAACUAAUAUACCUUGUAAUGGUGGGCUUCAUCCAUGUGCUAGUUCAGCCUGUGAGAUGCUGGUGAGCCCACCUCCAGGCACUCACGGACUCCCCACCCAUUGAGUGUGGCCUGGAUUUAGUGACUCAAUCAAACGUGACAGAGUGCUGGGGUGUCAUUUUCAAGACUGGGUUAUGUGAAGACUGCAGCCUCCAUCUGGGGUGCUCUCUCUUGGAUUGCUUGCUCAGGGAUGUGGGGAGAGCUGCUGUGCUGGGAGGCUGCCCAUGUGAGUUGACUUGGAUGUGAACCUUCUGUGGCCUGCCAAUAGCCAGGUGUUUGUGUGGACACUGCUGUCAUUUCUCUUGGGAAGAUACUGAGGAGUCAGAUUGCUGGAUCCCGUGAAGAAGGUGCACCUGGGAUUGGCUCUUGCUUCCUAAGGAACCUCAAAAAAGCUGCAACCUAUUGGAGACUUUUGAUUCAGCAUCAAGGAUAUGCGUGAGACUUUGGUUCUUUUCUGUUGGGACACAGUUGAUUCUGACUGUCUUAAAGUUAGGCUUUUCUAAAGAUUUAGACUAAUAAAUUAUUUGAAUGGGACA
rnacentral:lncRNA from 1 species